rnacentral:rRNA from 1 species
GAUGAACGCUGGCGGCGUGCCUAAUACAUGCAAGUCGAGCGAACGGACGAGAAGCUUGCUUUUCUGAUGUUAGCGGCGGACGGGUGAGUAACACGUGGAUAACCUACCUAUAAGACUGGGAUAACUUCGGGAAACCGGAGCUAAUACCGGAUAAUAUUUUGAACCGCAUGGUUCAAAAGUGAAAGACGGUCUUGCUGUCACUUAUAGAUGGAUCCGCGUUGCAUUAGCUAGUUGGUAAGGUAACGGCUUACCAAGGCAACGAUGCAUAGCCGACCUGAGAGGGUGAUCCGCCACACGGGAACUGAGACACGGUCCAGACUCCUACGGGAGGCAGCAGUAGGGAAUCUUCCGCAAUGGGCGAAAGCCUGACGGAGCAACGCCGCGUGAGUGAUGAAGGUCUUCGGAUCGUAAAACUCUGUUAUUAGGGAAGAACAUAUGUGUAAGUAACUGUGCACAUCUUGACGGUACCUAAUCAGAAAGCCACGGCUAACUACGUG